AUGAGCGCCCUCAAGUUCUGCAGCAAAUGCGACAACAUGCUGUAUCCGCAGGAGGACAAGGAGAUGCACACCCUCCUCUACGCCUGCUCGAAUUGCCAGCACCAGGAGAUUGCUACUGAUACUUGUGUGUACAAAAGGGUUCUUCGGAAAUCUGCUGAUGAACCUAAAGACACCCUAAAAGACGCAGCUGCUGAUGCGUCUCUGCCACGCACCAGAAGUGUUAAAUGCUACAACUGUGGCUAUCCAGAAGCUGCUUAUUUCCAGGCCCCGACGAAGGGAGAGCUUGGCCUGACCCUGUACUUCAUCUGCUGCAGCCCUACCUGUGGCCACAGGUGGAGGGACUGA
rnacentral:rRNA from 1 species